AUGACAUAAAGGAUGCCUAGGUUCC
rnacentral:piRNA from 1 species